rnacentral:rRNA from 1 species
GAUGAACGCUGGCGGCGUGCUUAACACAUGCAAGUCGAACGGAAAGGCUCCUGCUUGCAGGGGUACUCGAGUGGCGAACGGGUGAGUAACACGUGGGUGAUCUGCCCUGCACUUCGGGAUAAGCCUGGGAAACUGGGCCUAAUACCGGAUAGGACGAUGGUUUGGAUGCCAUUGUGGAAAGUUUUUUCGGUGUGGGAUGAGCUCGCGGCCUACCAGCUUGUUGGUGGGGUAAUGGCCUACCAAGGCGUCGACGGGUAGCCGGCCUGAGAGGGUGUACGGCCACAUUGGGACUGAGAUACGGCCCAGACUCCUACGGGAGGCAGCAGUGGGGAAUAUUGCACAAUGGGCGCAAGCCUGAUGCAGCGACGCCGCGUGGGGGAUGACGGCCUUCGGGUUGUAAACUCCUUUCGCUAGGGACGAAGCGCAAGUGACGGUACCUGGAGAAGAAGCACCGGCUAACUACGUG